GCCCCCGUUGUCUAAUGGUUAUGACGUCAGACUUCUAACCCUACUCUCAAUCUGGAGGUUGCGGGUUCGAGUCCCGCCGGGGGUU
rnacentral:tRNA from 1 species